UGUUAGACGGCGGACGGGUGAGUAACACGUGGGUAACCUGCCUGUAAGACUGGGAUAACUCCGGGAAACCGGAGCUAAUACCGGAUAGUUCCUUGAACCGCAUGGUUCAAGGAUGAAAGACGGUUUCGGCUGUCACUUACAGAUGGACCCGCGGCGCAUUAGCUAGUUGGUGGGGUAAUGGCUCACCAAGGCGACGAUGCGUAGCCGACCUGAGAGGGUGAUCGGCCACACUGGGACUGAGACACGGCCCAGACUCCUACGGGAGGCAGCAGUAGGGAAUCUUCCGCAAUGGACGAAAGUCUGACGGAGCAACGCCGCGUGAGUGAUGAAGGUUUUCGGAUCGUAAAGCUCUGUUGUUAGGGAAGAACAAGUGCGAGAGUAACUGCUCGCACCUUGA
rnacentral:rRNA from 1 species